AUUGAACGCUGGCGGCAGGCCUAACACAUGCAAGUCGAACGGUAACAGGAAACAGCUUGCUGUUUCGCUGACGAGUGGCGGACGGGUGAGUAAUGUCUGGGAAACUGCCUGAUGGAGGGGGAUAACUACUGGAAACGGUAGCUAAUACCGCAUAACGUCGCAAGACCAAAGAGGGGGACCCUUGGGCCUCUUGCCCUCGUAUGUGCCCAGAUGGGAUUAGCUUGUUGGUGGGGUAACGGCUCACCAAGGCGACGAUCCCUAGCUGGUCUGAGAGGAUGAGCAGCCACACUGGAACUGAGACACGGUCCAGACUCCUACGGGAGGCAGCAGUGGGGAAUAUUGCACAAUGGGCGCAAGCCUGAUGCAGCCAUGCCGCGUGUAUGAAGAAGGCCUUCGGGUUGUAAAGUACUUUCAGCGGGGAGGAAGGGAGUAAAGUUAAUACCUUGGCUCAUUGACGUUACCCGCAGAAGAAGCACCGGCUAACUCCGUG
rnacentral:rRNA from 1 species